rnacentral:rRNA from 1 species
CAGCAGCCGCGGUAAAACGUAGGGUGCAAGCGUUAAUCGGAAUUACUGGGCGUAAAGCGUGCGCAGGCGGUUAUAUAAGUCAGAUGUGAAAUCCCCGGGCUCAACCUGGGAACUGCAUUUGAGACUGUAUGGCUAGAGUGUGUCAGAGGGGGGUAGAAUUCCACGUGUAGCAGUGAAAUGCGUAGAUAUCGGAAGGAACACCUGUGGCGAAAGCGGCUCACUGAACCAUUUCUGACGCUGAUGCACGAAAGCUAGGGGAGCAAACAGGAUUAGAUACUCCCGUAGUCCCUGUAUCUUAUAC